GACGAACGCUGGCGGCGUGCUUAACACAUGCAAGUCGAACGGAAAGGCCCUGCUUUUGUGGGGUGCUCGAGUGGCGAACGGGUGAGUAACACGUGAGUAACCUGCCCUUGACUUUGGGAUAACUUCAGGAAACUGGGGCUAAUACCGGAUAGGAGCUCCUGCUGCAUGGUGGGGGUUGGAAAGUUUCGGCGGUUGGGGAUGGACUCGCGGCUUAUCAGCUUGUUGGUGGAGUAGUGGCUUACCAAGGCUUUGACGGGUAGCCGGCCUGAGAGGGUGACCGGCCCCAUUGGGACUGAGAUACGGCCCAGACUCCUACGGGAGGCAGCAGUGGGGAAUAUUGCACAAUGGGCGGAAGCCUGAUGCAGCAACGCCGCGUGCGGGAUGACGGCCUUCGGGUUGUAAACCGCUUUCGCCUGUGACGAAGCGUGAGUGACGGUAAUGGGUAAAGAAGCACCGGCUAACUACGUG
rnacentral:rRNA from 1 species